rnacentral:rRNA from 1 species
AACAGGGAUUGCCUUAGUAACGGCGAGUGAAGCGGCAAUAGCUCAAAUUUGAAAUCUGGCGUCUUUGGGCGUCCGAGUUGUAAUUUGUAGAGGAUGUUUCGGUAUUAGCUCUAAUCUAAGUUCCUUGGAACAGGACGUCGCAGAGGGUGAGAAUCCCGUACGCGAUUAGUUGCUUUUGCCAUGUGAAGCUCCUUCGACGAGUCGAGUUGUUUGGGAAUGCAGCUCUAAUUGGGAGGUAAAUUUCUUCUAAAGCUAAAUAUUGGCCAGAGACCGAUAGCGCACAAGUAGAGUGAUCGAAAGAUGAAAAGCACUUUGGAAAGAGAGUUAAAAAGUACGUGAAAUUGUUGAAAGGGAAGCGCUUGCAAUCAGACCUGCUUGCAGUUGUUCAUCUAAACUUUGUUUAGUGCAUUCUUCUGUAAUCAGGCCAGUAUCGGUUUAGGCGGUUGGAUAAAGAUUUUAGGAAUGUAGCUCUCUCCGGGGAGUGUUAUAGCCUAAUUUAUAAUACAGCCAGCCUAGAUCGAGGACCGCGCUUCGGCUAGGAUACUGGCGUAAUGGUUGUAAGCGGCCCGUCUUGAAACACGGACCAAGGAGUCUAACAUCUGUGCGAGUGUUCGGGUGUUAAACCCGUGCGCGUAAUGAAAGUGAACGGAGGCGGGAACCCUUUUUUGGGCGCACCGUCGACCGAUCCUGAUGUCUUCGGAUGGAUUUGAGUAAGAGCAUAGCUGUUGGGACCCGAAAGAUGGUGAACUAUGCUUGAAUAGGGUGAAGCCAGAGGAAACUCUGGUGGAGGCUCGCAGCGGUUCUGACGUGCAAAUCGAUCGUCAAAUUUGGGCAUAGGGGCGAAAGACUAAUCGAACUAUCUAGUAGCUGGUUCCUGC